UUAAANNUNNNNNCUGCCCAAUGAAAAUUAAAUGGCCGCAGGGUAUUUUAACUGUGCAAAGGUAGCAUAAUCAUUAGUUUUUUAAUUGUAAACCGGUAUGAAUGGCUGAAUGAAAAAAUAACUGUCUCAUAUUUAAUUUUAGAAUUUUAUUUUUAAGUUAAAAAGCUUAAAUUUUUUAAAAAGACGAGAAGACCCUAUAGAGUUUAAUAUAAAAGUUAAUUUAAUUUUUAUUGAAUUAAAAAGUUUAAAUUAGUUUUUAUAUUUAAUUGGGGUGAUUUAAAAAUUUAAUUAACUUUUUAUUUUUAUUAACAUUAAUUGAUGAAUUAUUGAUCCUAAUUUUUAGAUUAUUAGAAAAAAUUACCUUAGGGAUAACAGCGUUAUUUUUUUUGAGAGUUCUUAUCGAAAGAAAAGUUUGCGACCUCGAUGUUGGAUUAAAAUUUAUUUUUGGUGUAGAAGCUGGAAAAUUAGGUCUGUUCGACCUUUAAAAUUUUACA
rnacentral:rRNA from 1 species